AUGCUUUUGAAGUAUGAGACAAGAUACAUCAGUUUUAUGUUUGAGUUUCUAUCUAACAAGUGUUAUAUCAAAUCACAGGCUUCUAGGAAAGUCAUUGCUGAAGGAGUCCUAGAUGCUAGUAGACUGUACUUCUUCUCUCAACUGCCUUUGGAGACCAUAAGUUCUUGUAGCUCUAAAUCCAAAUUGGUUACUCCUACUGGUAUCCAAACCUAUGUUGCUUCUAAUUCUAAUUCCCAUAGUUUAGUUACAUGUAAUAAUAGUGCUUUGUGGCAUCAAAGGCUUGGCCAUGCCAAUUUCAAUUCUGUCAAUUCCAUACUCAAAUUGUGUAAUGUUUCUUCUGUUAAUAAAAAUGGACAUUCUUUUAGUACCUCAUGUAAUCUUGGAAAGGCACAUAAACUUUAUGCUCCUUUA